UACGUAGGGUGCAAGCGUUGUCCGGAAUUAUUGGGCGUAAAGAGCUCGUAGGCGGUCUGUCACGUCGGCUGUGAAAACCCGGGGCUCAACCCCGGGCCUGCAGUCGAUACGGGUAGACUAGAGUGCGGUAGGGGAGACUGGAAUUCCUGGUGUAGCGGUGAAAUGCGCAGAUAUCAGGAGGAACACCGGUGGCGAAGGCGGGUCUCUGGGCCGUAACUGACGCUGAGGAGCGAAAGCGUGGGGAGCGAACAGG
rnacentral:rRNA from 1 species